UACGGAGGGAGCAAGCGUUACUCGGAAUUAUUGGGCGUAAAGGGCGCGUAGGCGAUUUGAAAAGUCUUGUGUGAAAGCCCCGAGCUUAACUCGGGAAGUGCACAAGAAACUGUUGAAUUUGAGUUCCGGAGAGGAAGGCAGAAUUCCCGGUGUAGCGGUGAAAUGCGUAGAUAUCAUGAGGAAGACCAGUGGCGAAGGCGGGUCUCUGGACAGUUCCUGACACUGAGACACGAAGGCCAGGGGAGCAAACGGG
rnacentral:rRNA from 1 species